GUGGGGAAUAUUGCGCAAUGGGCGAAAGCCUGACGCAGCGACGCCGCGUGGGUGAUGAAGGCCUUCGGGUCGUAAAACCCUGUCGGGUGGAACGAAUUUCCGCUUCGCUAAUACCGGAGCGGAUUGACGGUACCACCGAAGGAAGCCCCGGCUAACUACGUGCCAGCAGCCGCGGUAAUACGUAGGGGGCGAGCGUUGUUCGGAUUUACUGGGCGUAAAGAGCGCGUAGGCGGUUCGAUAAGUCGGAGGUGAAAUCCCUCGGCUCAACCGAGGAUCCGCGUCCGAUACUGCCGAACUUGAGUGCAGGAGAGGAGAGCGGAAUUCCCAGUGUAGCGGUGAAAUGCGUAGAUAUUGGGAGGAACACCGGUGGCGAAGGCGGCUCUCUGGACUGUUACUGACGCUGAGGCGCGAAAGCUAGGGGAGCAAACGGGAUUAGAUACCCGAGUAGUCC
rnacentral:rRNA from 1 species